AUUGAACGCUGGCGGCGUGCUUAACACAUGCAAGUCGAGCGGCAGCGCGGGAGCAAUCCUGGCGGCGAGCGGCGAACGGGUGAGUAAUGCUUCGGAAUCUGCCCUUCAGUGGGGAAUAACCAGUCGAAAGACUGGCUAAUACCGCAUACGAACUGAGGUUGAAAGCAGGGGAUCGCAAGACCUUGCGCUGAUGGAUGAGCCGAAGUCGGAUUAGCUUGUUGGUGGGGUAAUGGCCUACCAAGGCGACGAUCCGUAGCUGGUCUGAGAGGACGACCAGCCACACUGGGACUGAGACACGGCCCAGACUCCUACGGGAGGCAGCAGUGGGGAAUAUUGGACAAUGGGGGCAACCCUGAUCCAGCGACGCCGCGUGUGUGAAGAAGGCCUGCGGGUUGUAAAGCACUUUUAGUGGGGAGGAAGGUCUGCGACCUAACACGUCGUGGAAUUGACUUAACCCACAGAAAAAGCACCGGCUAAACUCUGUGCCAGCA
rnacentral:rRNA from 1 species